AACUGGACCUGUGCCUUUAUAAAACCUCAAACACUGCAAAGGUUCAUGAAACAAUGUAUAUCUAUUCUUCUUAUUCACUGUCAUCAAUGCUGACCAGGGAAAAUUGCACAGGUGCACGUGUGUGUGUGUGUGUGUAGGGCUAGUGAAGCAGGCAACUACCAGAGAUACAUUAUUAAAAAGCUAACAUUUAUUGGCCAGGCGCGGUGGCUUACGUCUGUAAUCCCAGCACUCUCACGGGUGGUGCCUCCCCGGCAAUGGGGGUCCCAAGAUCCAGGGGGGGAAAAGGGGAUGGCUCUCAGCCACCACAAAAUGGGGGGCCUUUAUGUUCAGGUUUUGCCCAAGAGUCAGCUUAUUUGCUUCUUGUACUAGCAGGGCAGUUGCUGCCAAGGCCUCAAACAGGGGAGCCAUCCUUCAGAAACCCUGUCUAGUUGUUCAGAGACGUAGGCCACCGGCCUCAGCCAGGGCCCCACAGUUUGGGUUAAAAGUCCAGCUGCCAUCUUUUCUCUCUCUAACGCAUACAAUGGAAAAGGCUUUGUCAGAUCGGGUAGCCCCAGGGCUGGGGCUGCCAGAAGUUUUUCCUUUAAGUCAUGAAAGACUUGCUGUUCUUGGAUCCCCAUUCCAAAGGUUCCGGUCCCCGCCCCCUUUGUGACCUCAUACAAAGGCUUGGCUAAUACUGCAAAGUUUGGGAUCCACAGUCUACAAAACCCCACAUCCCCUGAGAAUUCUCUCGCCUGCCUUAGGCACUUAGGCUCCGGGAGAUUGCAAAUAACCUGCUUUCUUUCUGUUCCCGGGCUGCGUUCGGACUCCUGUCAGAUAGUAAAUCCUAAGUAAGGUGGCGUCGGACCCCUGUCAGAGAGUAAAUCUCAAGUAAGGUACCUGCCAUCGGCAGAUUUGAGCUUUCUUCUUGGACACCUAAUACCCACAGUCCUCCAGGCUCCGGUAGACUGCAAAUGACCUGCUUUCUUUCUGUUCCCGGGCUGCGUUUGGACCCCUGUCGGACAGUAAAUCCCAAGUAAGGAAUGGAACAGAUAAGAAGAUACUGAAAUUGGACGGUGCUGCCGUGCGGCUGCCGCAGGACACCUUUAAUAUCCCUGUUUCUCAGGCUGUAGAUGAAGGGGUUCAGCAUGGAGGUGAUCACCGUGUACAUCACUGAGGCCACUGCAGCCUUUCUCGGGGAAGAUGACACAUCUGAACUGAGGUACCCUCCAAAGCCUGUUCCGUAAAAUCAGCAAACAACUGACAGGAUAACUUCAGGAAGUGGGUAUUAAUUCUCACGGUAUAAGUGAAGACAUUAAGCACCAGAGUUUAAGUAGCUUGAUCCACUGAAAGAGAUUCAACUGUGUGGAACCUAUGCCGUGGAGAAUUGCUUUCUGCCAUUGUUAUCGUCCAGCAGUUGCCGAAUAGCUCUGACCUGAGCAAAGCAGUGAAACGCGGUGCUGUUGAGUGGGUUGCCACUGCACCUUUUUCAACUACUCUAGUCUUGUGGAGAAAAUACCCCUUCUAAAUUUUUUCUUCAUUGAAUACUCUCCCUCAGCUCCAGAGUACCAUAUAGAGUUUUCUUGUAUUUUAGAGUUACUGUUUUAUCAAAGUUUACCAGUCUUUUGUAUUACAUUUCUCCUGUCUAAAUCGACUGUGUGGUUUCUACUCAUUAUGGAUAUAGAUUGAUACAAACUCAAUAAAUAUUUUUGAAUGAAUAA
rnacentral:lncRNA from 1 species